UGUUUGAUGGAUUGAAAUAGAAGGGAAGUUAGAAAGGAAAGAUACAAAUUAAAAAGAUACAUCAUGAGGCAGUUUGGCAGGAUAGUGGAUAAAUUGCUAGGCCUGGAGUCAGGAGGACCUGGGUUCAAAUUCAGCCUCAGCCACUUCCUUACUGUGUGACCCUGGGCAAGUCACUUGAUCCCAAUUUUCCUAGUCCUUAUCUCUCUUCUGCCUUAGAAUCAAUAUUUGAUAUCAAUUCAAAGAUAAAGUAAGGAUUUUUUUUUAAAAAGAAAGGCCACCUUUGAAUAGAAAGUAGAUACAAGUAUAGGAGAUGGUCCCUCUUACAGCAAGAAUCCACAACAGCUCAUAUCUGGAAAAAAAAAUAACUUCAUGGAGAUUCUUUUUCUGGUAUGCAGUCUUAUCAACAAAUAACACCAACAUUUUACUAGUUUAUAAAUUUUUUUUUCUGGUUUGUUUUCCUCUCAGGGGGAGAUUCACAAGCUAAAAGAAUGAAUGAAAUCUGCCUUCUUUAUGCAUCAUUACUUGCUCAGAAUGAGUGGGUGAAUGGAAAUUUCCUAAGCACCAAUGUGAUGAUCUCAUCUUUGGGAUCUGGUGUAUUUCUGUGUCCAUACUUGGAACUAAUUUUUCUCAUUAAGUCUGAGAAUACAGUUCCAGAGGACCAGCCCCCAGAGCUUAUUAGUUUCUUUCUUUCUUUUUCUUUCUUUUCUUCCUUCCUUCCUUCCUUCCUUCCUUCCUUCCUUCCUUCCUUCCUUCCUUCCUUCCUUCCUUCCUUCCUUCCUUCCUUCCUUCCUUCCUUCCUUCCUUCCUUCCUUCCUUCCUUCCUUCCUUCCUUCCUUCCUUCCUUCCUUCUUUCCUUCCUUCCUUCCUUCCUUUCUUUCUUUCUUUCUUUCUUUCUACCUUUUCCCUUCAUUUUUCUCUCUUCUCCUUCCUUCCUUCCCUCCUUCUCUCUCCUUCCUUCUUCCUUCUUUUUUCUUCUUUCCUUCCUCUAAUCUUUCUUUUCCUCCUUAUUCCAGGGUCCAGUAGGUUUAGACAACAGGAAUCACAGGUUUUAUUUCUUUUCUUCUUUUCUUACAUUUCUUUGUCUUCCCCACAACACAUUGCACAAAGGUCUACUGUACUGAAUGGCCAUUCAAUAAAUAUUUGUAGAUGAUUGAAUCCA
rnacentral:lncRNA from 1 species